AUUUAUAAAAGAAAGCCAGAAUAGGUCAAAGUACGGCCUUCAACACAGAGCCACGGCUCACACCGAACAGCAAGCUAUAAAGGUCCCCACAAAUAUAUAAUGUCAACUGUUCAAACGGGAAAAACAACGGUCUAAUAUAUAUUAAAACGCAAAACGAAAUACACAAAUGAACCAUUUGAACAAAAGACAACCACUUGACACUUUUUAAAGAGUGAUUGACACGUAUAGUUAACUCUCGUUGUCUUGAACUAAGUUGACUCGAAGAGAGCCGAAAAAUACCAAAGGGACAGUCAAAUUCAUAAAUAAAUAAAAAACUGUCAACGCCAUGGCAAAAGAAAAAGACGAACAGACAAAUUACAGCCCACAACACACAACAUACAAAUGUAGAAAACUAAAAACUAAGCAACACGAACCCCACUAAAAGCCGGGAAUGGUAUUGGGUGCUCCGGAAUUGUAAGCAUAUCCUUCUCUAUAUGUGGCACCCGUCGUGUCGCUCAAGUUAUUUAAAAUCCGGCA
rnacentral:lncRNA from 1 species